rnacentral:lncRNA from 1 species
CGGAGAUCUCCAAGUUAUGGUUAAUAAUACUUAAUAAUUAAAUUUUCAAUGCAAUUCAUAAAGUUUUAUUAAUUUGCCUACUCUGUGCCAGGCACUGUGCUAAUGUGAGAGAUGAUCUCUCAGAAGUGAAGCCUCCUCAAAGGGUUAAUAGUUCUUGUAUUGUUGCCCUUCUGACCUUGCAAAACCCUUCCCACUCAGACCCUGUUUUUAAGCACUUAGCAGAAAGAAUGCCCUACCCCCAACUUGAACUGCUUGCCCUUGCCUUUACUUGCCACCUUUUCUUGUCUCUGGGCAAACUUGUGUAACUGCCUUUGUUCUCUGUUGCUGGGGGAGAUUUCUGAGAAUAGACUGCGCUCCCUGAAGCUCAGCCAAUGGGAUAAGGAGAAGGGGUUAGGGAGGAGGAGCUUGAGUUAGGGUACAAAUAAGGCUUGCUUUCUGUAAUCAAUUCCUCAUUAGUUCGAGGAGGGGCGGUAUCCUUUCUCAGGAGGAGGCAAUAAACUCCAUCUGCUUUCAAGGUAUGUAAGUCUUUGUUUUUAUUUUGAGUAAGUUGUCUUUGUCCCACACACUAAGGACCAGGGAUACAAAAAGAGGCAAAAGACAGCCCCUGCCCUCAAGUCAUCCUAGUGGAACUGCAAGUCUUCCAUUUAUGCAAAUGUGCUUAGCUAAAUUGGAGGGAAAAGGGGGGAAAGCCCAGCCAAAGCUGACAGUAAGUCACUGAAUUUAGUUAUACCCAAUCAAAGACUGAAAGAGUAGGCAAAUGUUACUGAUAGUUUUGUUAUCCAAUGACAGGUUAUGAACUAUGUAGGAUGUUUAAAAUUAUGUGGGUUUAGACUUCAAGAAGUGUGUAAGCACAAAUUAUGUUGCUUCUCCCUUGCAGCUAUUUUAAGAAGCAGUGCCUCAUUGCCUACACGCUACAUAUCUUCGGGGAUCCUUGUACACCACAGAAUGGCCUCUGCUUGGCCCCGUGCCGCGGGCCAACUCGUACGCUUUCGCCAGGCGCCCGCCGCGAUGUCUGGCGACGGAGCCGCCGAACAGGUGAGAUGGGGAGGCCGGUGGGGCCUCAUGGCCACCGUCUCUCAGCCGGGCCGGCCCGGUCGGGAAGGGGCGGGACGAGGGGACGAGAGGUGCUGCGGGCGUGUCUGGGCCGAGGCUAAGGGGCAACGGGGAGGCGGGGAUGGGGAGGGGGCCGUGCCCUGACCCCCCGCCGAGCCGCGCGUUGGGCCGGAGGGGGCGGGGCCAGGCCAGUGAGGAAGCCCCCCAAAGCAGCCCCGCCCCGACUUUGGGUCCUCCUCCCGGGACCCGUAGGAGCGGCGGGUAAACCUUUCUGCAGGGGCUGGGGGGUCGGAGGGAGUCUCUUAGAGCCAACUUUGGUGGACGAUAGGAACUUCCCACGUUCCACUGUCCCGUUCCGUUCCACUGCUUCCCCUCCCCCUCCCGAGCAUCGGGACGUGACGCAUAAAGCCCGCUCAGUUUCGGGGGCUGCACGGGCCCCCGAGGUGGGGUCGUCGCCCCAGUGCCGUGAGCUCCCGGCCAUUUAAAAAGUUCAAAGUGCCGCGUGCCCUCGUGGUUGGUUCAGAGUCUCGGGAGCUCUAGGUUGAGUUUAGGACCCCUUUAUCCGGCUUAGAGACGUUUUGACUCGGAGGAGGUAGAGAGGCUCAUUCCCCUCGUGCUGUGUUCCUAAACUUGCUUCCUUAGUGCAAAUGGGAGUUUCGAGCUAGUUUGAAAUAGCUCGGCCUUUUGGGAAGUUAACCGCACUUUAGCGGGAAAUAAACGGUCAGUCUUCCUUUAUCCCUGGGACUCU